CAAUAGCGUAUAUUAAAGUUGUUGCAGUUAAAAAGCUCGUAGUUGGAUUUGUGGCGUACGGUGUGUUCCGGGCACUUGUUGUCUGAGUAACCUGCUGUUGCCAUCCUUGGGUGGAACCUGUGUGGCAUUAGGUUGUCGUGCAGAGGAUGCCCAUCAUUUACUGUGAAAAAAUUAGAGUGUUCAAAGCAGGCUUAUGCCGUUGAAUAUAUUAGCAUGGAAUAAUGAGAUAGGACUUUUUUGCUAUUUUGUUGGUUUGCGCAAAGAGGUAAUGAUUAAUAGGGACAGUUGGGGGUAUUCGUAUUCCAUUGUCAGAGGUGAAAUUCUUGGAUUUUUGGAAGACGAACUACUGCGAAAGCAUUUACCAAGGAUGUUUUCAUUAA
rnacentral:rRNA from 1 species